GGAAUAGUCAUUUGGUCUGACUGUCUGUACACGAGUUGGGGCUUAGGGCGCUUUAGAGGGCAUUCUGACAAUGGGAGAGGGAUUGAGGCGGGAGCCCGUCAGUGGCUUUGCUGUUUAUCGAUCGCAAAUGUGGUGAGAGCUUAAUUGAUCUCGCACUUUGAGAUCAACACGGUAAUCUCUCUGCCGUGGGACUGUACAGUGGGCCGCUGUGCAGGUGGAGGGGGGAACCGCAGGGGGAAGGGCAUGCAAAGUGCGAGUCGGCCGAGCGGAAAGUCGGGUUUGCGGUUGGUUUUCGCCCGAAUAUCGGAACCAUUCGAGAUUCCACAUUUACUGCUUUUUACCGUUUGACAUAUUCCAAAAAGGUUGACUUUUAUCCCGAACUGCAUUUGGACAUCUCCUCCAUUCUCGGAUUUUCUUUGAUUUAAUUCUCGACGUUUCUACUUAAUUCUACAAAUGUAAAAAGAAACUUUCAUUGUUUUUUUUGGAAUGUCUGGCCUUAUUAACACUCUUCUGUCAACACUCAGCCCUCAGUGGAAUCCAAGUGUCCUCGUGAAGUGCGUGUGCACUAAUAGAUCGACCAGUGGCUCAAAUCAAAACGUGCGCAGCUGCUUCAUUUCACUACCUAGGGAAUAUACGAGGGACUGUGUGAGUCAUUGUAGGCCCACGGUAGAAUUUCUGGAGAAAAAAGAACUCAGAGUCAGGAAAAUCCCCUGAAGAUUCACGGCAAGCUAAUAGCUAGACGCUCCACGCCGGGUGCCACCCAUCACCUGGAUGUUCCGGGAAAUUGUCCUGCUGUUGCGAACGUGUCCGACUCUUGACACUCUCCUGCUGCGUUCUGCAUAUGUCAACGGCGAACUCUGAAAACAGCUGUAGAACAUUCAUUUCCUGGAGGCUCACGUUACCCAAAACCACCGACCCAAGAAUCACCUUUCGUACCAAAUUGUAAAAAAAAAAAGAAAAAAAGAAAGCCAUCCCCAAUUUGAGCGUUUUUUUCAGUCUGACGUUCAUAAACUCCUAACUAGCUCCGGUCCCAUCCAAUCAGUGCUCACUAACUGUGCGCACAAAUUGGUUCCGUAGAGGAAACAGCUCCAUGUCCAAUUAUUUGUUAAAUUCACACGGUCUUGAAAAGGAACAAAAGUGCCCCGUUUCAUGGGGCUCGAGCUGGGAUUUUAAAAACUGUCCAACAACAAAGGCAGGUUGUACAUCCACACAACCUCUAUCAAGACUUCCAUCUCUGCCUUUUUUUUUCAGGUUUUUCUCUAUACAUAUUUCAUCCCAUUCACAUCCCAACUGACUCGGACAGCCCCUUAAAAACACCAGUUUCAGUCCCUUCUCUUCUUAUUAGGAAUCUUCCAACAGCUUCUCUCUCUACCCUUCAAAACCGAAUGGCCGGUCGCCCCCCCCAUCAGUACGACUUCCCAGGGUGGAACCUCGAAUCCGACAAGAGACAGAAGUCAUUGAUGGGAUUGCUGCUGGACCCCGCAGGCGGCUGGGCGGGCAAGGCUAACGACUUCCGUUUACUUCCCGUUCUCUCUCAAAGAAGAGAGUUUCCCUCCCGCUCCGUCUCCGCGGUGGCACUCAGACGUGGCGUCCGCACGAGGAAGGAGAAGGACAGAAAGCGGCGGAGUGUCGUCGGCGAGGACGAGCCAACACAACAACUGUGAAAAUACUGCCAGGGCGGGCCAGGCGGACUGGCCACAACUACAACUGACUGGACGGGAACCAGGCCACGGUUCCACUCAUACUCCAGGAUCUGGAAGUUCGUACACACUGAUACAUCUUUAGUGUUUCUAGCACACAUUUGCUCAGAGGGAGAAUUGGGAAAAACUGGGAUUCUUGGUAGUCUACAUGAAAAAACGAGUGAAUUGUCCAUUUAUUAUUGGAUAAAUAUAUACAUCGUAUUGAUUGGCUACCUUUCUUCAAUGAACUCAAUGAAGGCCUCUCAAAUUAAUUAUCUCUCUUUUUAAUGCAGAUACAUACUUAGGCUAUAUGUAUGUUUACCGAAAUAACCUGGUUCCUUAACCUAUUAAACCCGCGUGUCCCCCCAACCACGGGGCAACCGCCCUUCUCACAACACGCAUCAUGUGAGAGCUUGCUGAACAUGGAAACAAGCUUGGCUAAAAGCCCACGACAACCAUUUUCACCCCUGAAAGAAACACAACCGCGACGCCGAGCAACUAAAUCAGCAAGUAAACUGUACAUGCCCAGAAAUCUGGCGCUGGACGACCGCGCUACUUCGCGCUGACGAAACUAAUGUGUCACACGGAAGCCGAGACUCCACAGAUUGCAAGGGUAUAUUCCACAUCACUCACUAAACCAGCACCAGGCGACCCAAAAGUCAAGUUAAAAACAUGCCUUAGUAUUUUGCUUUCUCAAAGCCUGAGAUCAGAAAACAUGUAAAUCAUACUUUUAUUUGCUACAGGAGCAUAUCACACAGACGGCAUCAGACGUUUUGGAACUUUUAUGACAAUCCUCUUGUGGCUUAUUUGGCUGGUUGAGAGGAAUUCCUUUACUUGUCUGCACAUUUGAGGAUCACGCUUUCUGAUUUCAUUGGCAAUACAUGAAAAGAAAAAAUACUGUGAGUCUAAUCUUAAAAAAUCUCAAAACACCUCUUAGAGUCGAAAGUCGCACUUAAAAAAAGUAGAGUAUAACGAAUUAACAUAUCGCCGUCCCGUUACCUUCUGGCAGCGCUCCACAUACUCGGAUUUUCGGUAUUUUCCUUUGAAGAAGAACUUGGACUGUACUGUUGCGAUGCCAUUUUUUCAGCUGCACACACACACAGUCAUUGAAGUGCGAGUGAGCUAUAUCCCUGAAGAUGGAGUGUCCUGAUUGGCAGUAAAGAGCAACAGAGCAAAAAUGGAGUCAUCCAAAACAGAGUCUAAAUGUGCUUGUAUCCCACCUGCACUUUCUCUGCCCCUCGCUCUCCUGUUAAUACAAACUAAAAAUGCAUUAUUAACCCGAAAAAGUGUCCAACUGCAAUCAUAACCCAAUUGUGAUUCACGUCAUCUCUGACUCUGCCGGUUUAUCGCCCCCCCCUAGCUGACGGAGGCACCGACCCCCCCCCCCCCCCCGUGUCUUUAGUGGCAUCUUGCGAAGGAGCACUCAUGGGGGACGGAUAUGCAGCGAGUGAAUUCAGCUGAUAUAUCCAGGACUUUUCUAUAUUUCUUCUAACAAUAUUAAAGUUUCUUCAGAAACAGAUGCGCCGUGGCCUUUCGGCCUACAGGCAAUGAUCUGAUGCUCUGUAAUUGGCAGCAGGGAAAGGGGGAAACAUGUGGAAUCGAUAUUCAUGUGAGUCAUUUUUUUCAUUUUUAUUUUCUUCUUUCCAUCUGUCAGAAAUGCCCUCUCAAGGUUUGACUCACCGGCAGUCUUUUUUUAGUUUUGUUUGUCUUGAUUUUUGAAAAUCCUCAUCAGCUGAUGUCAAGGGCUCGCAGGAAGCUAAACAAAGCUAUCUCACUCGAGGCGGCUGAAUAAAUACUCCGAACAAAUGGACGCUUUGAAAUAUACAAGGGAACGGGUGGCGUGAAAUGUGUA